rnacentral:rRNA from 1 species
UACGUAGGGUGCAAGCGUUAAUCGGAAUUACUGGGCGUAAAGCGUGCGCAGGCGGUUAUGUAAGACAGAUGUGAAAUGCCCGGGCUUAACCUGGGAACUGCAUUUGUGACUGCAUGGCUAGAGUGUGUCAGAGGGGGGUAGAAUUCCACGUGUAGCAGUGAAAUGCGUAGAGAUGUGGAGGAACACCGAUGGCGAAGGCAGCCUCCUGGGCCAGCACUGACGCUCAUGCACGAAAGCGUGGGGAGCAAACAGG